GCCAGAGUGGCGGAAUCGGUAGACGCGGCGGAUUCAAAAUCCGCUUCCCGCAAGGGAUUGGGGGUUCGAGUCCCCCCUCUGGCACCA
rnacentral:tRNA from 1 species